rnacentral:rRNA from 1 species
UGGGGAAUAUUGGGCAAUGGGCGAAAGCCUGACCCAGCGACGCCGCGUGGGCGAUGAAGGCCUUCGGGUUGUAAAGCCCUGUCAUGCGGAAAGAACGACCCUGCGACGCAUAAUCGCAGGGAGUGACGGUACCGCAGGAGGAAGCACCGGCUAACUCCGUGCCAGCAGCCGCGGUAAUACGGAGGGUGCAAGCGUUGUUCGGAAUUAUUGGGCGUAAAGGGCGCGUAGGCGGUAAUGCUAGUCAGAUGUGAAAUACUCCGGCUCAACCGGGGAACUGCAUCUGAAACUGCAUAACUAGAGUACAGAAGAGGGAAACGGAAUUCCCGGUGUAGAGGUGAAAUUCGUAGAUAUCGGGAGGAACACCAGUGGCGAAGGCGGUUUCCUGGUCUGAUACUGACGCUGAGGCGCGAAAGUGUGGGGAGCAAACAGGA